ACAUAGGUAUAAGGCACAUCUGUAUGGGGCACAUAGGUGUAAACCACAUCUGUAUAAGGUAUAUAGGUGUAAACCACAUCUGUAUAAGGUAUAUAGGUGUAAACCACAUCUGUAUAAGGUAUAUAGAUGUAAACCACAUCUGUAUAAGGUAUAUAGGUGUAAACCACAUCUGUAUAAGGUAUAUAGGUAUAAACCACAUCUGUAUAAGGUAUAUAGGUGUAAACCACAUCUAUAUAAGGUAUAUAGGUGUAAACCACAUCUGUAUAAGGAAUAUAGGUAUAAACCACAUCUGUAUAAGGUAUAUAGGUGUAAACCACAUCUGUGUAAGUCAGACACUGGGAAUAACAAGUUUAUGUUGAAACAGCUUUUUGGUUAUACUUAGAUUUUUCUACGUAUUAAAGAGGAAAGCCGGUGUGUGCGUUAAUGAGAUUGAUGGACGUGUCUUUUUCUUUUUUUCAUAAAGAAUUUAGAACCUUGGCCGAAUAUUUGACUGAGAGAGUCAAGCCUCUUCAUCGGCUUUUCAGAAUCGAUCAAUAUUUUGAUUGUGUAAUUGUCAGUGGUGAGAGGAGCACUGCUUCACAGAAACAUACCAUACAGAAUAGCAGAUGAGCGUUUGGA
rnacentral:lncRNA from 1 species